AUACGUAGGGGGCGAGCGUUGUCCGGAAUGAUUGGGCGUAAAGGGCGCGUAGGCGGCCCGGUAAGUCUGGAGUGAAAGUCCUGUUUUUAAGAUGGGAAUUGCUUUGGAUACUGUCGGGCUUGAGUGCAGGAGAGGUAAGUGGAAUUCCCAGUGUAGCGGUGAAAUGCGUAGAGAUUGGGAGGAACACCAGUGGCGAAGGCGACUUACGGGACUGUAACUGACGCUGAGGCGCGAAAGUGUGGGGAGCAAACAGGAUUAGAUACCCUGGUAGUCCACACUGUAAACGAUGAAUGCUAGGUGUAGGUGGUAUCGACCCCUUCUGUGCCGCAGUCAACACAAUAAGCAUUCCGCCUGGGGAGUACGGCCGCAAGGUUGAAACUCAAAUGAAUUGACGGGG
rnacentral:rRNA from 1 species